rnacentral:lncRNA from 1 species
GCCAUCAGCGAGAGCUUCCUCCCCACCUCUGUGAGUUUAAUUUCUAGGAGGCUUCAUGGGAAGUGGAGGAGCGUGUACUGUCACCCACGUGCUCCACCUCUGGGCAUUUGUUAAUGUAGAAGACAUCAGGUCAUAUACCAAGCAGAAGGCUGAGAGACGGGAACAUAACGGGAAUUACUCCAGAAGAAAAUAAUUCCUCCCUCAAAGUCCUGUACAAAUGUCGUGUCCCUCCCACCUGCCUUGUCACCCAGGUGCCCUGUGGGAGAAGCUUCUGGGUGCUUCUGGAGACGGAGAUCCAGGGUCCUCGAGGGCCCAGCUUUGCAGGAGAAGUAGACAGGCCCCCACCGGUCCCCACGCCUGGAGACCGUGCCAAAUUCCAUGCACAUUAAACUCAGCCCAGGGCGUCAGAGGCCCCCCUUCAGCGGCCUCCUCAGAACCUCCCAGACCCGCUGUGGCUGCAGGCCUGGCCCUGGUGUCCUGGAUGGAGGAGCAGAGGCCUGGAGAGCUGACUCUGUGGACAGCCCCCGGCCUCACUGCACACCAAGGACAACUUCACACUAACAGCAUCCGUGCAGGGCCGCCCACAGGCCCGGGCAGGGGUGUCACAGUUUCC